ACGUCAUCCCCACCUUCCUCCGGUUUGUCACCGGCAGUCCCAUUAGAGUGCCCAACUGAAUGUGGCAACUAAUGGCAAGGGUUGCGCUCGUUGCGGGACUUAACCCAACAUCUCACGACACGAGCUGACGACAGCCAUGCAGCACCUGUGUUACGGUUCCCUUUCGGGCACACCUCCAUCUCUGGAGGCUUCCGUACAUGUCAAGGGUAGGUAAGGUUUUUCGCGUUGCAUCGAAUUAAUCCACAUAAUCCACCGCUUGUGCGGGUCCCCGUCAAUUCCUUUGAGUUUUAACCUUGCGGCCGUACUCCCCAGGCGGUCAACUUCACGCGUUAGCUUCGUUACCAAGGAAUUGCUUCCCCGACAACCAGUUGACAUAGUUUAGGGCGUGGACUACCAGGGU
rnacentral:misc_RNA from 1 species